rnacentral:lncRNA from 10 species
CUGGCCUGUCCCUGUCCCUCCUUGUCUUUGUCACUUAGCUGUGGCCCUUCUUGCAGGAAGACUUCUGGAAUUGUCAUAUUCCCACCUCUUUCUCCUUCCUCUGCUUUCUGCAGGUGACACUAAGGAAACUCAUCUCAAUGCAUGCACAGGGAACAAUGAAGAUGUAGAGGAUGUGCUAUGACCAUUGCAAACAUAGAAAAAUUAAGCUGGGGGCGGGGCACAGUGGCUCACGCCUGUAAUCCCAGCACUUUGGGAGGACAAGGCGAGCAGAUCACUUGAAGUCAGGAGUUCAAGACCAGCCUGGCCAACAUGGUGAAACCCUGUCUCUACUAAAAAUACAAAAAUUAGCCAGGCAUGGUGGCACACACCUGUAGUCCCAGCUACUCAGUAAUCUGACUCUGGAGAAUCACCUGAACCCGGGAGACAGGGGUUGCAAUGAGCCAAGAUUGCGCCACUGCACUCCAGCCUGGGAGACAGAGUGAGACCCUGUCUUAAAAAAAAAAAAAAAUAAGCUGGGGGUGCAGAAGCAUCCUUCGGGCCCAGAUCCAGAAAAGUUCCCCUGCCCCAUCUUCCUUCCUCUGAGGAGCUCACCAACUACUGGAUAAUUCAGGGUGUCAAGCAGAAGCAAGCAGAACUCCAUUUUAUUGGCUACAGUAUAUUCUCCUUAAAACUAAAGCCCAUCAAAAUGAAACAAUAAUGACAGAAAGCAGAUCAGCAGUUGCCUGGAGCUGAGGGUGGAGAGGAUGGUUGACAGCAAAGAGACAUGAGAGAACUUUUUGGGAUGACAGAAACAUUCUAUAUCUUGAAUAUGAUGGUGGUCACAUAGGCAUAUACAUUUGUCAAAACUCACUGUUCACUUAAAACAGUGCUCAAUGUUCUCAUUUAUUUGUGGGAUCUAAAAAUCAAAACAAUUGAAUUCAUGAGCAUAGAGUAGAAGAUGGUGACCAGAGGCUGGGAAGGGUGGUGGGGUGGCAAGGUGAGGAGAGGUAGGGAUAAUAAAUGGGUACCAAAAAAAAUAGAAAGAAUGAAUUAAGGCCGGGCACGGUGGCUCAUGCCUGUAAUCUCAGCACUUUGGGAGGCAGAGGCGGGCGAAUCACCUGAGGUCGGGAGUUCAAGACCAGCCUGACCAACGUGGAGAAACCCCGUCUCUACUAAAAAUACAAAAUUAGCUGAGCAUGGUGGUGCAUGCCUGUCAUCCCAGCUACUCAGGAGGCUGAGGCAGGAGAAUCGCUUGAACCUGGGAAACGGAGGUUGCGG